rnacentral:lncRNA from 1 species
GCUGGGGCUUUCAGCUUCAAGCUUCUAAAACAACCAAACCUGUGUAGAACAAAACCAAAAGAAGCAAAUGGAGAAAAGGCUGUCCUUGGCCACCCUGAAUCAUUCUUUUUCCCUCCUCCCCUGUUUCCUCCGAACCCCUUUCAGCCUCCUCCGUUGCUUCCUCCCAUACUGCCACCACCAGCUCCACUUAUUCCAAACCCAUUUCAGCCUCCUCCAGCUCCACUUAUUCCAGCCUCCUCCAGCACCACCGGCUCCACUUAUUCCAAACCCUUUUCAGCCUCCUCCCGCACCACCGGCUCCACUUAUUCCAAACCCUUUCCAGCCUCCUCCCGCACCUCCAGCUCCAUUUAUCCCGAACCCCUUCCAGCCUCCUCCGGCACCUCCAGCACCUCCAGCACCAUGGUUUCAUCUUCCACCGAUUCCAGGACUAACUCCACCACCAUCGCCACCACCUCCACCUCCACCAACCUUCCCGUUUCCUCUUCCCCCAUUCCAUUUCCCACCUGUACCGCCUUUCCCUGGUAUCCCCCCUGCCUC